GCAUCUGUAUGAUGAUUUGCUAAGUCUGACAACCCUCAUGAGGGUAAAAUGAAGAUUCGAAAAAUACUUAAAUGUUAAGCAAACAUGCAAAAUGAGGACAACUCUGUUCCCAUUUUGCAGACAAGGAAAUUGCACAUUAGGGAGGUGACUUGCCCCAAGGCCACACUCAGAAGUGUCAGAGUCGGAUUUGAACCCAGUCCUGAUUCCAGAGGUUUCAACUUUACUGUUGUGGCCAGAAACAUGCCGUAGUUCUACUCCUGUGUGUGCAUGUUCUGUCUUGAAUAUAACCCUCUCCCCAUCGUGUAAGUGGGCCAUUCCCCUCCCUGACAUUGAAGGGCCCCGUCUUCAGCAGGUGCCUCCUGACCCAGCAGACCCCCAUGAGCUCAGAUCCCUGGGACCUGAUGGCUGCCCUUAUCACAUUCCCUGACUCCGCAUCUUAGGACCCAAGUCUGACCCUCUUCAGGAUCUGCAGCUGUGUUACAGGAAAGGGGACCCGAUCCAGACCCCAAGGGAGGGUUCUUGAAUCUCGUGCAAGAAACAAUUCAGCAUGAGCCCGUAAAGUGAAAGCACAUUUGUUUGUUUGCUUGUUUUGUUGUUUUCUUUUGCUUUGUUUUGUUUAUGAGAUGGAGUCUCACUCUGUUGCCCAGGCUAGAUAGAGGGUAGUGGUGUGAUCUUGGCUCAGUACGACCUACGCCUCUCAGGUUCAAGUGAUUUUCCUGCUUCAGCCUCCUGAGUAGCUGGGAUCACGAGUGCAUGUCACCACACGUAGCUAAUUUUUAUAUUUCUAGUAGAGACUGGGUUUCACUAUGUUGGCCAGGCUCAUCUUGAACUCUUGACCUCAGGUGAUCCGCCUACCUCAGCCUCCCAAAGUGCUGGGAUUACAGGUGUGAGGCACAAAGCAAGUUAUUCUUUCCUAAAAAAGCAAGUUUUUUAGGAAAGUGACGAUAAAAUAACUACUCCAUAGAGCAGCCCAGAGGGUGCUGGUGCCCAUCUUUAGGGUCAUUUCUUCAUGACAUGCUGAAUGAGGAGAUUAUUCAUGACUCCUCUUUUGUAUAUCAUACAGGGAAACUUUCUGAUGUUGCCAUGGCAUUUGUAAACCGUUGUGGCGCUGGUGGCAAUGUAGCAGGGAGGACGAGCAUAGGUCGCUCUGGUUGCCAUCUUGGUUUUGGUGGGUUUUGGACUGGCUUCUUUACUGCAGCCUGUUUUACUGGCAAGGUCUCUGUGACCUGUAUCCUGUGCUGCCCUCCUGUCUUAUCCUAUGACUCAGAAUGCCUUCACCGCCUGGAAAUGCAGCCCAGUAGGUCUCAUCCUUUUUUUAUCCAGCUCCUAUUCAAGAUGGAGCUGCUGUGGUUCACACGCCUCUGGCAGCUGGGCUCCUUGGGAUCUCCUGAUGUUCUGUCCCCUCUGUCCCCAGCUCCUGGGUCCCUCCACCAUCGCUGUCUUCCUGAGCUGCCUGCCCCUGAGUUUCUUCAUCACCAAGAAGAGGAAUCAGUGUCAGGCCCAGCUGUCCCAAUGUCCAUCUGUCACUUGGACUGUUUCUCCAGCCGCCUGCGUGGCUUUCAUCCAGGCCCAGUGACUCAUGCCUGUGAUCCCAGCACUUUGGGAGGUCAAGACAGGUGGAUCUCCUGAGGAGAGCAAAUGAGGCAGAAGGACUGCGGGCCCGGCUCACCAGCUCCAUUCUCAGGAACUCGAGGACCAUCAAGUUCCAUGGCCUGGAGGGAGCCUUUCUGGACAGAGUCCUGGGCAUCCGAGGCCAGGAGCUGGGCACCUUGUGGACCUCUGGCCUCCUCUUCUCCGUGUUGCUGGUGUCCUUCCAAGCAUCUACAUUUCUGAUCAUGUCACUCUAGUCUCUCUGCUGAACAUGACUGGGGAAGAAGUGUGGGGCUCAGGAGGUGAGGUAGGUGGAGCCUCCCAGAUUUUACCACCUUGUCCAUCAAAACCCACACAUUCUGGAUCCUGUUCUUUCAGGGUUCCUGCUGUCUUCCACGUGAAUGAAUGAAUCACAUCAUUCUGGUGAAGGUGACAGCGGCUGGUGAGGCCUGCUGUUCUGAGAGUUCCAGGCUUCCAUUGAUGUAGGGAGGAGGGUUCAGGUGCAGACGGGCUGCAGAGGUAGAAUCCAGGGUCUGAGUGGCUUUCCUGCUGCUGGCCAGCAAAUGUCCACAGCCACCCUGUCACUGACGUGAUCCUUGUCCUGCCAUUCUGUCAUUUAUUUCCGAUGGCUGUCAGAACACUUCCUAAAGCACAGUUUUCAGAAGAAUUUAAACAUGUUGAUGCAUAGUCCAGGCACCGUGACUCAUGCCUGCCAUCCCAGCUCUUUGGGAGGCUGAGGUGGCUUCAACCUGGUUGGUGGAGAUUGCAGUGAGCUGAGAUUGUGCCACUUCACUCCAGCCUGGGCGAUGGAGCAAGACUGUGUCAAAAACAAAACAAAACUAAACAAAAGGACCACAAAUGGGACCAACACCUAGGGCCCUCCCAUGCUGCUCUCCCCAGGAGUCCCCAGGUUCAGCCCUCAUGUCUAUCACCUCAUGUCUAUCACAGAGGCCUUUCCUGACCACCUUUACCACCACCACAGCACCCCUGCUCAUGCUAAUGCACUCUAACCUGCACCUGAUCUCUCUUUACUUUUUUAUUUUUGAAGACAGAGUCUUGCUCUGUUCCCCAGGCUGGAGUGCAGUGACACAAUUUUGGCUCACUGCAACCUCCACAUCCCAAGUUCAAGCAAUCCUCCCACCUCAUCCUCCUGAGUAGCUUGGAUUACAGGCAGGUGGAUUACAGGCAGGUGCCACCACGCCUGGGUCAUUUUUUCUUUUGUACUUUUAGUAGAGAUGGCAUUUCACCAUGUUGGCCAGGCUCGUCUUGAACUCCUAACCUCAAGGGAGUUGCGGGAAUUACUGGUGGGAGCCACCGCACCUGGCUGUACCCGCUUUAGAUUUUAUUCUUCAUAGGGCUCUCCACCUGAUGUGCUGUCUGUGUUAAUGGUUUGUUUAUGGAUCGCCUGUCUCUUUCCCCCUCAUUAGAAUGAUGGAUCCAUUAAGAGAGCAGCAACUAUAUUUUGCCCAUUGCUGUUUCCCCAGAGCCUUGAACCCUGCCAAUUAUAUAAUAACCAGGCAGUAGUUAUUCAUAGAAUAAAUGAAUGUAAGAAUUAAUAAAUGGCCGGGUACUGUGGCUUGUGCCUGUAAUCGCAGCACUUUUGGAAGCCGAGGUGGGUGGAUUGCUUGAGGUCAGGAGUUUGAGACCUGCCUGGACAACAUGGUGAAACCCCAUCUCUACUAAAAAUAAAAAAGUUAGCUAGAAAUGGUGAUGCAUGCCUGUAAUCCCAGCUACUCCGAAGUCUGAGGCAGGAGAAUUGCCUGCACCCAGGAGGUGGAGGUUACAGUGAGUCGAGAUCAUGUCACUGCACUGUAGCCUGGCAGAAAGAGAAAGACUAUCUGAGAAAUAAAUGAAAAUAAUUAAAAAAAAGAAUGAAGGACAAGAAGGCCUAGAUAGAAGGAAUAAGUUACAGUAAUCAAUAGUGCACAAGGGAAUUUACAGUGAAUGAGAAUUUAUUUGAAUAUUUCAAGAUAGCUAAAAGAGAAGGAUUUUCAUGUUCCCGAAACAAAAGAUAAAUAUUUGAGGUGAUGACUGUCUCAGUUACCCUGAUUUGAUUAUUACAUAUUGUCUACAGCUGGGGUCUCCCACCCUCCUGGCCACGGAUCAGUACUAGUCUGUAGCCUGUUUUUGGCUGUCUUUUUUUUUUUUGAGACAGAGUUUCACUCUAUGCAUCGGUACGAUCUCAGGUAAAUGUAACCUCCACCUCCAAGGUUCAAGCAAUUCUCCUGCCUCAGCCUCCUGAGUAGCUGGGAUUACAGGCAUGUACCACCAUACCUGGCUAAUUUUUGUAUUUUUAGAAGAGACAGGGUUUUACCAUGUUGGCCAGGCUGGUCCCAAACGCCUUACUUCAGGUGAUUCGCCCUCCUCAUUCUCCCAAAGUGCUGGGAUUACAGGUGUGAGCCAUUGCACCAGGCUUUUUUUUUUUUUUUUUUUUGACUGGGAGUUUUGCUUUUGUUGCCCAGGCUGGAAUGCAAUGGCAUGAUUUUGGCUCUCUGCAACCUCUGUCUCCCAGAUUCAAGUGCCUUUCCUGCCUCAGACUCCCAAGUAGCUGGGAUUACAGGUAUGAGCCACCAUGCCAGGUUAAUUUUUGUAUUUCUAGUAGACACAGGGUGUCUCUAUGUUGGUCAGGUUGGUUUCAAACUCCCAACCUCAGGUGAUCCACCUGCCUCAGUCUCCCAAAGUGCUGGGAUUACAGGCGUGAGCCACCAUGCCCAUCUCACCUGUUAGGAACUGGGCAGGCAGCACAGCAAGUGAGCAGCGGGCGGGCUAGGGAGGCUGUAUCUGUGUUCACAGCCACUCCUUAUUGCUGGCAUCACCACCUGAGCUCCACCUCCUGUCAGAUCGGUGGCAUUGUUAGAGUCUCAUAGGAAUGCAAACCCUACUGUAAACAGCACAUGCAAGAGAGCUAAACUGCGUGCUCCUUAUGAGAAUCCAAUGCCUGUUGAUCUGUCACUGUCUCCCAUCAACCCCAGAAGGGACAAUCUAGUUUCAGUAAAACAAGCUCAGGGCUCCCAUUGAUUCUACGUUACGGUGAGUUGUGUAAAUAUUUCAUUAUAUAUUAAAAUGUAAUAAUAAUAGAAGUAGGCCGGGCACAGAGGCUCAUGCCUGUAAUCCCAGCACUUUGGGAGGCUGAGGCAGGCGGAUCACCUGAGGUCGGGGGUUCAAGACCAGCCUGGCCAACAUGGUGAAACACCAUCUCUGCUAAAAAUACAAAAAGUGGCAUGGUGGCAGGAACCUGUAAUCCCAGCUACUUGGGAGGCUGAGGCAGGAGAAUUGCUUGAACUGAGGAGCAGAGGUUGCAGUGAGCCACAAUUGUAGCAUUUUGAGAGGCUGAAGUGGGCGGAUCACCUAAAGUCAGCAGGUCGAGACCAGCCUGGCCCACUGGUGAAACCCCGACUCUAAUAAAAAUACAAAAAUUAGCUGGGUGUGGUGGUAGGAGCCUAUAAGCUGAGUUACUUGGGAGGCUGAGGCAAGAGAAUUGCUUGAACCCAGGAGGUGGAGGUUGCAGUGAGCUGAGAUCAUGUCCCUGCACUCCAGCCUGUGCAAUAGAGCAAGGUUCUGUCUUU